AACAGGAUUAGAUACCCUGGUAGUCCACGCCGUAAACGAUGGGCACUAGGUGCUUGGGGGAGCGACCCCCUGAGUGCCGGCGCUAACGCAUUAAGUGCCCCGCCUGGGGAGUACGGCCGCAAGGCUGAAACUCAAAGGAAUUGACGGGGGCCCGCACAAGCGGUGGAGCAUGUGGUUUAAUUCGACGCAACGCGAAGAACCUUACCUGGGCUUGACAUGGGCGUGAUCGCUCUGGGAAACCAGAGCUUCCCUUCGGGGCACGUUCACAGGUGCUGCAUGGCUGUCGUCAGCUCGUGUCGUGAGAUGUUGGGUUAAGUCCCGCAACGAGCGCAACCCUCGCCUCUAGUUACCAGCGGGUCAUGCCGGGGACUCUAGAGGGACUGCCGGUGCCAAACCGGAGGAAGGUGAGGACGACGUCAAGUCAUCAUGGUCCUUACGCCCAGGGCCACACACGUGCUACAAUGGCGGGGACAGCAGGCCGCGAGCCGGCAACGGUGAGCCAAUCCCCAAACCCCGCCUCAGUACGGAUUGUCCUCUGCAACUCGAGGGCAUGAAGCUGGAAUCGCUAGUAAUCGUGGAUCAGCUACGCCACGGUGAAUACGUUCCCGGGCCUUGUACACACCGCCCGUCACGCCAUGGAAGCUGUGAGCGCCCGAAGUCCGUGUCGGAACCCGCAAGGGACCUAGCGGCCGAAGGCGAGCAUAGUGACUGGGGCGAAGUCGUAACAAGGUAACC
rnacentral:rRNA from 1 species